UGAGUUUGAUCCUGGCUCAGGACGAACGCUGGCGGCGUGCCUAAUACAUGCAAGUCGAGCGGAUUGAUGGGAGCUUGCUCCCUGAUAUUAGCGGCGGACGGGUGAGUAACACGUGGGUAACCUGCCUGUAAGAUUGGGAUAACUCCGGGAAACCGGAGCUAAUACCGGAUAACAUUUUGAACCGCAUGGUUCAAAAUUGAAAGAUGGCGUCUAGCUAUCACUUACAGAUGGACCCGCGGCGCAUUAGCUAGUUGGUGAGGUAACGGCUCACCAAGGCAACGAUGCGUAGCCGACCUGAGAGGGUGAUCGGCCACACUGGGACUGAGACACGGCCCAGACUCCUACGGGAGGCAGCAGUAGGGAAUCUUCCGCAAUGGACGAAAGUCUGACGGAGCAACGCCGCGUGAACGAUGAAGGCCUUCGGGUCGUAAAGUUCUGUUGUUAGGGAAGAACAAGUACCAGAGUAACUGCUGGUACCUUGACGGUACCUAACCAGAAAGCCACGGCUAACUACGUGCCAGCAGCCGCGGUAAUACGUAGGUGGCAAGCGUUGUCCGGAAUUAUUGGGCGUAAAGCGCGCGCAGGUGGUUUCUUAAGUCUGAUGUGAAAGCCCACGGCUCAACCGUGGAGGGUCAUUGGAAACUGGGGAACUUGAGUGCAGAAGAGGAAAGUGGAAUUCCAAGUGUAGCGGUGAAAUGCGUAGAGAUUUGGAGGAACACCAGUGGCGAAGGCGACUUUCUGGUCUGUAACUGACACUGAGGCGCGAAAGCGUGGGGAGCGAACAGGAUUAGAUACCCUGGUAGUCCACGCCGUAAACGAUGAGUGCUAAGUGUUAGAGGGUUUCCGCCCUUUAGUGCUGCAGCUAACGCAUUAAGCACUCCGCCUGGGGAGUACGGUCGCAAGACUGAAACUCAAAGGAAUUGACGGGGGCCCGCACAAGCGGUGGAGCAUGUGGUUUAAUUCGAAGCCGCGAAGAACCUUACCAGGUCUUGA
rnacentral:rRNA from 1 species